GGCUCAGUAGCUCAGUUGGUUAGAGCGCCGGCCUGUCACGCCGGAGGUCAUGGGUUCGAGCCCCACCUGAGUCG
rnacentral:tRNA from 1 species